UACGUAGGUGGCAAGCGUUGUCCGGAUUUACUGGGCGUAAAGGGCGUGCAGGCGGUUUGUUAAGUCUAGGGUGAAAGCUCCCGGCUCAACUGGGAGAGGUCCUUGGAUACUGGCAGACUUGAGGAGGGUAGAGGAGAGUGGAAUUCCCGGUGUAGUGGUGAUAUGCGUAGAUAUCGAGAGGAACACCUGCGGCGAAGGCGGGUUGCUGGGCUGACACUGACGCUGAAGCGCGAAAGCUAGGGGAGCGAACGGG
rnacentral:rRNA from 1 species